rnacentral:misc_RNA from 1 species
CGGCUGAUAAGCCUGGUGUUGAGGCACAGUUGGAGACGUCGCCCCUCUUCUAUGCUUUUGAUAGUCCGGAGAUGGUUGGACUCUGUUCCCAAUGUGUGCUGAAAUUGCAGGUGAUAUUGCUGGAGGUGGUGGAGGAGGCAUCAUUGAACUAUCUGUGCGACUCAGACUUUCCACACUUGUAUACAUGGUACUGUUACUACCACGUCGAUCGUAGGAUCUAAAUGGAAGGAUUCAGCAUUAUGUCCGAGUGUCCUUCUACUUGUGCGUUACCGAUUCAUGUAUUCCUGAGUGGGAGUCUGUGGCCGAGAAUUCGGUGCAGAGAAUUGAUCUGGUGUUACCGAUCUAAACAUUGGAGCCUGAUUAUCCAUUUCUUCUGGCCUUAGUCUUCCUCUGCCACGGGUACGAGCAGGAAUAGUGUUUGACCAAUUUUGCUGAGGUGGUAAGGACCCAGUCGGUGGUAGAUGCUGCAUCGUUUGUGAAUGAUGAAUCACAGGUGAAUAGUUAUACCCAGAAGUACC